rnacentral:lncRNA from 1 species
UUCUUAUUAUUAUUAAGUCUUUCCACUUUUCUGUGGAAAGACUUAUUGUUUUUGUUCUGAUUAUUAUUAUUAUUAUUAUUAUUAUUAUUAUUAAGUCUUUCCACUUUUCUGUGGAAAGACUUAUUUUUUUUCUGAUUAUUAUUAUUAUUAUUAUUAUUAUUUUUUUUUUUUCCGCCAAAUUUUGUUCUUGCGAUAAAUGUUUGUUUCGCAAUAUGUCGCUUAGAUAUUUCUCAUAUGGUAUCGUAUAGUUUAUGCGCUUUUAAAUUUCACCCUGCUAAGGCGAACCAUUUUCUUUGUAAGAGUUAUCUCCCUUUCACUGUUUAUCCAUCUGUGUGCAUCUCCUUCGUAACAAAAAAAGAUAGCGACAAAAUUCUUUUUACAAAUUGUUCGUUACAUCCUCAGUAAUUUUUGGCGUUUUUGGAUCGAAGCGAUUCGAUGAAAUUUUAUAGGAGUUAUCUACCUUUACAAAAUAAAUUUGUCGGUAUGUUUAUUUAACUCAUAAACAGUUAACCGUAUAACCCUGGAAUGUUUUUAUUUGAGUCCCCUAGGUCCUAACUUAGAAAAUGAGGUCAAGGUCAAAGGUCAAGGUCAAGUUCUCAAUUGUGACUUUUGCUUGUUUUUGCAUUUUCUCCGACACUUUGAGAGAUACAUAUAAAAGAACAAGUGCAAAAUGUCAGCUUUAAUUGUAAUGAAGAUAUGCUACAUUUAGUCUUAUACAAUUAAAUGGCAUCUUAUAGGAGUUGUCGCCCCUGAAAUGUCUUGAUAUGAGGUUAUUUGAUUAUAACUUCAAGUAAGUUCAUUAUAAAGACAUUUGACCUUAUACAAAAGGUUAAGUGACAAAUGACCUUGAAAAAUGGCUACCGGAAGUGACCUUGAGAAAACCGGAAGUAGCUUUUUUUGCAAUUUUUUCACAUAAAAGUACUCAGAAUCCAUAUAUUUUGUCAUAUAGAUACAUGAACAGAUUACUGAAGACUAAAAAUGACUUCCAACAAACCGGAAGUGGCCAAUUAUCU